rnacentral:sRNA from 1 species
UGUAUCUGCAGUUCAUGAGGAUGAGAACCUCCGGGGGCAGGGAGGUUCGACUCGAGCGAAGCGAGAGAACGUUGCGCCAGCAACGGCCCGCAGGGCGAGCCACGAAGUGGCGAGUAAUCCUCUAUCACCGACCA